ensembl:snoRNA
UCUGGCAGUGAUGAUCCACUUGCCCUCACCGAGAACAAGGUUCUGUGAUGAGAAUCUUUGUUACGGACUCUUCUGAGCCAGA